UUCAAGGAAACCCUAAAUAAGAAGCCGCCGGAUCACCGAGAAGCUGCAGGCUUGGAAGCAAUGGGUAUCGAUCUCACUGCCGGUGGCAGGAGCAAGAAGACGAAGCGCACGGCACCCAAGAGUGAUGAUGUUUAUCUCAAGCUUCUAGUAAAGCUAUACAGGUUUCUGGUAAGGAGGACGGGGAGCAAGUU